rnacentral:rRNA from 1 species
UAGGAGCCUCUUCGUUGUCCGUACCGCAAACCGACUCAGGUGGGCGGGGUGAGUAUCCCAAGGCGCGUGAGAGAACACUGGUUAAGGAACUCGGCAAAUUGACACCGUAACUUCGGGAGAAGGUGUGCCCUUUGUUGUGAAGUCCGUACGGAUGGAGCGACGGGGGGUUGCAGAGAAACGGGGGUUGCGACUGUUUACUAAAAACACAGGACUCUGCGAACACGCAAGUGGACGUAUAGGGUCUGACGCCUGCCCGGUGCUGGAAGGUUAAGGGGAGUUGUCAGCGAAAGCGAAGCAGCGAACCGAAGCCCCAGUAAACGGCGGCCGUAACGAUAACGGUCCUAAGGUAGCGAAAUUCCUUGUCGGGUAAGUUCCGACCUGCACGAAUGGCGUAACGACAUCCCCACUGUCUCAACCAGUGACUCAGCGAAAUUGUAAUCGCGGUGAAGAUACCGUGUACCCGCGGCAAGACGGAAAGACCCCAUGAACCUUUACUGCAACUUGACAGUGAAGCUCGGGACAGAUUGCGUAGGAUAGGUGGGAGGCUGUGAAGUCGGGAUUCUGGUCUCGGCGGAGCCAACGUUGAAAUACCACCCUGUUUGUCCUGGGCUUCUAACCCAGGCCUCUAAGCGAGGUCGGGGACACUGUCUGGUGGGCAGUUUGACUGGGGCGGUCGCCUCCUAAAAAGUAACGGAGGCGCGCGAAGGUUCCCUCAGGCUGAUUGGAAACCAGCCGUAGAGUGUAAUGGCACAAGGGAGCUUGACUGUGAGACCGACAGGUCGAGCAGGUGCGAAAGCAGGUCAUAGUGAUCCGGCAGUUCUGCAUGGAAGGGCUGUCGCUCAUCGGACAAAAGGUACUCUGGGGAUAACAGGCUGAUCGCGCCUGAGAGUUCAUAUCGGCGGCGCGGUUUGGCACCUCGAUGUCGGCUCAUCGCAUCCUGGGGCUGGAGCAGGUCCCAAGGGUUUGGCUGUUCGCCAAUUAAAGCGGUACACGAGCUGGGUUUAGAACGUCGUGAGACAGUUCGGUCCCUAUCUGCCGUGGGCGGAGGAUACUUGAGAGGGUCUAACCAUAGUACGAGAGGACCUGGUUGGACGUACCUCUGGUGAUCCGGUUGUUCCGCCGGGAGCAUCGCCGGGUAGCUAUGUACGGAACGGAUAACCACUGAAAGCAUCUAAGUGGGAAGCCGGCCUCAAGAUGAGGUAUCCCGGGGCGUAAGCCCCCUGAAGGCCCCUCGAAGACUACGAGGUAAUAGGCUGGGUGUGGAAGCGC